rnacentral:rRNA from 1 species
UACGAAGGGGGCUAGCGUUGCUCGGAAUCACUGGGCGUAAAAGGUGCGUAGGCGGGUCUUUAAGUCAGGGGUGAAAUCCUGGAGCUCAACUCCAGAACUGCCUUUGAUACUGAAGAUCUUGAGUUCGGGAGAGGUGAGUGGAACUGCGGGUGUAGAGGUGAAAUUCGUAGAUAUUCGCAAGAACACCAGUGGCGAAGGCGGCUCACUGGCCCGAUACUGACGCUGAGGCACGAAAGCGUGGGGAGCAAACAGGG